CCAUGGCUGUUUCUUUGUGGCCAGUUGAACGGCUGGCCUCCGUAACUGCAGGAGUCACCUGAGUGUCUCCAGCCUCCUGUUGGGGAGUGUAGGGUGGGAACUCAGAGACCUGCGAGCAGGUUUGAGUUUCCACAGAUUUCCUUGGUGGUGCCACUCCCCUGCGCACCACUUCGGAGAAAGAUCCUUUCAUUUGAAAUUCGUAUUGUGUCUUUGCAGCUCUGUAAGGAAUGUUUUGUACGGUUUUGAUCUUUAUGAUUUCUUUUUCUUCUUUCCAACGUGGACACGAUCGAGAGUACACCGGGUGGUUGCCCUGGCAGUUGGCACAACGGUACUCAUUGCUGCAAGUCUCUGGCGAAUGGUCUUUGCCAGAGCACUUUGGGCAGGUGGAGUGUCCGCGGCAGACAAGCGAACUGUGCCCAAAAUGCUGGCACUUGAAACAACGUCUUGGGUUUGGAAUGUAUGGUCUGACAUUGCAACUGAGAGACCACGCCCUGCUCACUCAGUCCAUCUUCAAUCUCAGAUUCUGUGCAUUCGAUGAGUUCAUCUUCUGAUAUUACACCUUUGGUUAUGUUCAGUGUGCGGUGUACGUUAACAUUUACAGUGCAGCAGGCGUGUCGCCCACCAUGGAGCCCAACUUGG